GACGAACGCUGGCGGCGUGCUUAACACAUGCAAGUCGAGCGGUAAGGCUCCUUCGGGUGUACACGAGCGGCGAACGGGUGAGUAACACGUGAGUAAUCUGCCCUUCACUUCGGGAUAACCACCGGAAACGGUGGCUAAUACCGAAUACGACCAGUCUUCGCAUGAGGUGCUGGUGGAAAGUCUUUUCGGUGAAGGAUGUGCUCGCGGCCUAUCAGCUUGUUGGUGGGGUAAUGGCCUACCAAGGCUUCGACGGGUAGCCGGCCUGAGAGGGUGACCGGCCACACUGGGACUGAGACACGGCCCAGACUCCUACGGGAGGCAGCAGUGGGGAAUAUUGGACAAUGGGCGAAAGCCUGAUCCAGCAACGCCGCGUGAGGGAUGACGGCCUUCGGGUUGUAAACCUCUUUCAGUACCGACGAAGCGCCCUGUCGGGUGGUGACGGUAGGUACAGAAGAAGGACCGGCCAACUACGUG
rnacentral:rRNA from 1 species